rnacentral:rRNA from 1 species
UACGUAGGUCCCGAGCGUUGUCCGGAUUUAUUGGGCGUAAAGCGAGCGCAGGUGGUUUAAUAAGUCUGAUGUAAAAGGCAGUGGCUCAACCAUUGUGUGCAUUGGAAACUGUUAGACUUGAGUGCAGUAGAGGAGAGUGGAAUUCCAUGUGUAGCGGUGAAAUACGUAGAUAUCUGGAAGAACACCAGUGGCGAAGGCGGCUACUUGGUUCGCAACUGACGCUGAGGCGCGAAAGCGUGGGGAGCAAACAGG